UCCGAACCCUUCUGGAUCAUGCGCAAGGCUAACGAGAAGUUGCCAUGACGUGUGUCCAUGGGACAUGCGAAUUGGCCACAGGAGUGAAGCGCAUCGAGUGUGGUGCCUGGGUUUCAAAGAAGCGCAUGUGUUGAAACUGUACUUUUUGUUGGUUUGAGCUGUGGGGAGAACGAUCGUCAGUUUUCUUGUAUUUGCAUUGCUGUAUCAUGGCUUUACCAUCUCAUAUUUUUCUAUCGUGAAAUCUUAUAAUGCAUAUUCUCUUGGAGCUUAUUAUAGUCCUCUCACUAGUAUAUCCUCAUAUAAUAUAUUUUAUGUCCUCUUACUAGUUGGUUCCGUUCCUUUUGAACUAGUCUUAUGAAUGAUGAAGUGUGGUGGGCAGUACACGCUAUACAUUUUAUUUUUUGUUCAUCUCGUUCGUUUUGAACUAGUCUUAUGAAUGACGAAGUGUGGUAUACAUUUUAUAUUUUUGUUCACCUUAGAAUUACAUUUUUGCUAAUUUUCAGCUUGUGUUCACCUUAGAAUUAUAUUUUUACUAAUGUCCACUUAGAAUUUUAUUUUUGCUAAUUUCCAGUCGAUUGAUUUUAGUUUGUUUUUAGUCAAAUUUUUGGUUUGUUAGUAGGUUCUUAUCGGGUUUUCUAAAGAACUAGGCCCAUGUGGAGGGUCACUUCCUCUUCGUCCCAGCCGGAAAAGGGGGACAAGCAGAGCCAUUCUUUGGGAAAAGGUUAUGCCUGCUCCCAUGGGCGAGGUUUUCCUUUUGGUCCCGUGCCCUACUCGUCCCUGAUGUAACGAACUAGAACCUAGGGUAAUGGGAUUCAAGAUGGAAUUGGGGAUUUGGGAAUAAUCUUAGAGUGAAGCUUGGUAUAGGAGAGUUCAGUUCAUACAUGAUCAACACAGCAAGACAAUUAAAAAAAAACAAAAAAAACAAAGCAAGACUACGUGUAAUCUCUACUUAAGAAGGCAGGAGAGCCGCUCACUCACGCGACUCCGUAGUUCAUGGGCCUAGGCUUGGGAUUACGGGACGCAACAUGUGUCGUGACAUCUCCCCCCGCCCCCCUCCCCCCCAACCCAAUGUAGAAAUGGCGUAUGCCUAUGCCGUUCCUCUUGGAAACCAACGAUGUAGAUCACCUUGACUCUCCCAAGUUGCAUGCCAACAAAUCACUUGAAACAUACCUAUGUAUUCUGGUAUGGCGAAGGUGAAUAAGUUGAGCUUGUCGCUAAAAGGCGUUCAGAGGGGGGGAGGGGGGGCUAGCGCUACAGUUGGCAGAUGUGGAUGAUUGGCCUAACUUUGGCAGGUCUAGGCAGUACGCAUUUUUUUGAUGCGCCGGGGCACCGUGUAUGACUUGAAAAACCAGAAUGACAUCUUCUGACCGGACCUCGUUGUUAAAGAUGUUUGAAUGCACUGUGGCAUCUUCAGGAAGACUUUGUCACCCAAGGCAAGCUGUGCUCGAAAUGCUUCUUAUUUGCAUGAUUCUUCAUCCAUUGUUAGGCUUGAAGGAGUUGUUGUCGUAGUAGCUGAUGUCACAUUGUUCUUGUACCAUGGUGUGUAUGCCAGGAACCACACUGGCCUUGUCCGCCACAAUGAGGAGAUGGCGAGGCUCGUGUCCGUAGAGCACUUCGAACGGGGUUUAUCCUGAGCAGAAUGGUACAUGGUGUUGUACUAGUGCUCGGGUAGAUGCAAUCAUUCAAACCAUUUUUUGGCCAGGCGUGAACAACACAUCGCUGGUAUGUCUCCAUACACCAAUUGAGGCACUCCGCUUGUGUUUAGGGGUGAUAAGUUGAGCUCAUAUGCUAGGCGGCAUUGUAGAGCUUGAACAGUUCUUGCCAAAGCAUGCUUGUGACGAUCCAAUCGCUGUCGGAGAUGAGCACUGAUGUCCUGCAAAUGCACAGGGUUGAGUUGUAGCUUUUCUGAAGUAAGAGUAUCGAACCCAGAGCUAGGAAAUGGUCCUUUUCCCUUAUAGGGGUUCCUGCAAGUUAGUUCUGAUUCAAAGCAAAAGCUACACGGAAGUGGAAAUAAUGGAGGAGUGUUUUUGACGAGAAUUAAAGUGCACAAGAAUGGAAGUCAAGAACAAGAGAGUAGUGGAAGCGAUAAAAUAUGCAGUAGGGCUAAGGUGUUCUCGGGGAGUGUGCGAUCACCACUAGUAUGCAUACUACUUAAUCAUGCAAUCGCAUAACUCUAGUUUCAGAUAAGUAAUCAACUUCAUAUGUUUCUACGUGUGGGUGGAGCUAGUACAAAUAGGUGCAUAUUACCGCUGCUCCACAUCAAACAUGCCACCACUGUUCCUUUCAUACCGGAUAGAGGCAACAAUGAUUAAGGGUCUCCCCGUGAACGCGGUUAAGGCGGCCUCUCUUACUCCCCUACGUAAGUUCUGCGAAGGAAGUAGCUUCUGCCACCGCAAUACCUCAGCUUCCAUGCAUCCCCGGAUAGUAAAUCCUUGAUGUCCAUAAGAGAAAAUUGGUGCAGAGCACUUGUUGUAGGGUGGAACCCUAAUGGAUGAUAUUUUCACACUUGGUUGGGGGGAAAGGAAAGAACAACAAGAGGAAUCACUCAACGAAACUCAAAUCACACAUCCACUAGAAUAGCAUACAUGAGGUCCACAAGCAUAACAUGAACUAUCAAAGGAAAGUGGCACAAAGGUAAGGUUCUUCUCAAAUCCAAAGGAGAUGAGGUCUUGAUGAUCUAGAGAGAUCCUUCUCCCUUAAGAGGUCUUGGUGAUCCUAUGAUGGGGAUCCUUCUACCUCAGGAGGUCUUGGUAUCCAAGAUUGAGGUACAAGGAGCAAAGCUCUCGCUAGUAAUCUCAAGUACUUCGCUAACCCUAACAAAUGACCUAGGUACAAAUUAUAUAGGUGUCUGGAGGUGAGGGAUGAGUGGAGGAAAAAAUAGGCAACUCCAUGGCCAGCUCCCUGUUGAGCCUGUCCGCAUGGUCUAAGUGGGCCCCGUGCGCACGGGGGUCCCGUGGGCAUGGUACACGGCCAUGCGCACGGGGUAGCAGCAGCUACAACGAAGGGGCCCGUGCGCAUGGGGUGUCUAGAAACUCUCUGGAUAGGCUGCGUGCACGGGGUCCAACUGGCCCGUGGGCACGAGGCCGCCUUAUGUCUUCUUCUUCCAGCUUCUUGCCUCCAUCUUCCUUGCGAUCUUAGGAUCCUUCUUCUUGGGCUUGGUGAGGCUCCUUUACUCCUUCGCGAGGUCGUCCUCGUACCUAAUGAUGCACAAGGUUUCAUGGUGAGGUAGCAUCCACGUUCCAUCCAUAUCCAUGUCAAACUCGAAGAGGAGUGAGUUGACCUCGUUUACGAUGGCACUCGCGCGAGCUCUUUUCAUGGGUCCACUUGGUGCUUGAUGAGUCGGUGUGGUGUCCAUGGGGAUGACCGAUGGAUGCUCCGCACCAUCUCCCCCCGGGAAAGAUCCGACCUUGGAACGUUAACCUCAUCACCAUGGUAGGGAGAUAGGUCUUGACAUUGAAGAUGUCACUCACAUUGUACUUGUCGCGGGGAACGGUGAUCUUGUAGGCAUUGUCAUUGUAGCAUGCUAGCACCUUGAAUGGUCCAUCGGUGCGAGGUAGUAGCUUGGACUUGCGUUCGUUGGGGAAGCGUUCUUUGCGAAGAUGUAGCCACACAAGAUCUCCGGGGUUGAACACCAUGGGAUGCUUGUUGAUGUUUAGCGUGGUGGCGAGACGAUGUACUUGGCGUUCAGUUGUGUUCCUUGUAUCUUCAUGCAUCUUCUUGAUGUAAUUUUCUCUUGCGCUCGCGUCCAUGUUGGUUCUCUCUUGUAGUGGUAGCGGGAUGAUGUCCAAUGGCGACAACGGGUUGAAGCCAUAGACGACCCUGAAGGGGGACUUACCGGUAGUAGAGUGCCGUGCUCGAUUGUAGGCGUACUUGGAGAUGGGCAAGCAUUCCUCCCACUCCGUGAUGUUUUUCUUGAUCAACACACGGAGUAGUGUAGAUAACGUCCGGUCGGUGACCUCCGUUUGACCAUCGGUUUAUGGGUGAUAUGCCGAAGAGAAUAGUAGCUUGAUGCCGAUCUUGGCACAUAGUGUCUUCCAAAAGUAGCUUAAGGACUUGACGUCGCGGUCUGACCCGAUCGUCUUGGGCACUCCAUGCAACCUCAAGAUUUCCCUACAAAAAGGAUUUGCAACAUGUGAAGCAUUGUCUAUCUUGUUGUAUGGUAUAAAAUGAGCCAUCUUAGAUAAAUAGUCCAAAACAACAAAUACGAAAUCUUUGCCAUUUUGUGUUCUCGGCAAACCAAGCACAAAACUAUACCGAUGUAUUCCCAUGGUUGAUACAGAAUAGGAAGUGGCAUAUGUAGACCAUGGGAUUGAGAUUGUGACUUAGCUUUGCGGCAUGUAGAGCACCGGUUGGUGUAGCGCACGACAUCACGAAACAUCUUUGGCUAAUAGUACUUGGUGGAGAGCGUCGCAAAGGUCUGGUCAUGGUUGAAAUGUCCCUAAGUCCUCUACCGUGAGCCUCUUGCAAAAGAAACUGAAAGGAUCGAGAAGUGGGCCUAGAGGGGGGGGGGGGUGAUUAGACCCUUAACAAGUAAAAAUGGCAGUUUUUAAUUUCUUAAAGUUAAGGUUGAGUUUAGCACAUGUUAAGGCACACACAAUACGUCUCAAGCAAGCAUGGCAAGAUUAUAGGCAGCGAAAAGAGUAAAUCAUGCAAGUUGCAAGAAUAAAAAGGGAUGGGUUUGGAGUGGGCAAACGCAAUGGAGACGCGUGGUUCCGAUAGGUGGUGCUAUCGUACGUCCACGUUGAUGGAGACUUCAACCCACGGAGGGUAACAGUUGCGCCAGUCCACGGAGGGCUCCACCUGUUGGGAAAUGUUGGAUGGAAAACACAAAUUUUUCUACGCACACACAAGAUCUAUCCAUGGGAUGUAUAACAACGAGGGGGGAGAGUGUGUCUACGUACCCUCGUAGACCGUAAGCAGAAGCGUUUGACAACGCGGUUGAUGUAGUCGAACUUCUUCGCGUUCCAACCGGUCGAGCACCGAACGUACGACACCUCCGCGUUCAGCACACGUUCAGCUCGAUGACGUCCUUCGCCUUCUUGAUCCAGCAAGACGGCGAGGUAGUGGAUGAGUUCCGACAGCACGACGGCGUGGUGACGGCGAUGGUGAAGCUAUCUCCGCAGGGCUUCACCUAAGCACUACGAAAAUAUGACCGGGGGAGUAAACGGUGGAGGGGGGCGCCGCACACGACGGUUAAGACAAUGUUGUGUUGUGCUAGGCGCCCCCCACAUAUAUAUAGGUAGGAGGGAUGGGCGAGCAGCCAAGGAGGCGCCCCAAGUAGACCGAAUCCUACUUGGGGUCCUCCCCUGGCCGCACGCCCCCUUCCAUAUAUAGGUGCGGGGGAAAGGCAGGGGAGGGAGGCGCCCCCCUUUCCUUUCUCUCAUGAGAAGGGGAAGGCAGGAGGGGCUAGCCCUCCCCCUUUCCUUCCCUAGGGCUGGCCGGCCAGGGAGAGGGGCGCACCGCCCCCCUGUGGGCUGGUCGGUCCCCUCCUUGGCCCAUUAAGCCCAUAUACCUNNNNNNNNNNNNNNNNNNNNNNNNNNNNNNNNNNNNNNNNNNNNNNNNNNNNNNNNNNNNNNNNNNNNNNNNNNNNNNNNNNNNNNNNNNNNNNNNNNNNNNNNNNNNNNNNNNNNNNNNNNNNNNNNNNNNNNNNNNNNNNNNNNNNNNNNNNNNNNNNNNNNNNNNNNNNNNNNNNNNNNNNNNNNNNNNNNNNNNNNNNNNNNNNNNNNNNNNNNNNNNNNNNNNNNNNNNNUCGGUGACCCGAUGACUACCCGGUGCAUCCUGAGAUUCUUUCGGUGUCCGAAUAUCAUCGUCCUAUAUAUCAAUCGUUACCUCUCGACCAUUUCUAGACUCCUCGUCAUGUCCGUGAUCACAUCCGGGACUGCGAACAACAUUCGGUCACCAAAACAUAUAACUCAUAUGACAAUAUAUCGUCAACGAACGUUAAGCGUGCGGACCCUACGGGUUCGAGAACUAUGUAGACAUGACCGAGACACCUCUCUAGUCAAUAACCAAUAGCGGAACCUGGAUGCCCAUAUUGGCUCCUACAUAUUCUACGAAGAUCUUUAUCGGCCGAACCGUUAUGACAACAUACGUAAUUCCCUUUCUCCAUCGGCAUGUUACUUGCGGGAGAUUCGAUCGUCGGUAUCUUCAUACCUAGUUCAAUCUCGUUACCGGAAAGUCUCUUUACUAGUUCCGUAAUACAUCAUCGUGCGACUAACUCAUUAGUCACUUUGCUUGCAAGGUUUCUUAUGAUGUGUAUUACCGAGAGGGCCCAGAGAUGCCUCUCUGAUACUCGGAGUGACAAAUCCUAAUCUCGAUCUAUGCCAACUCAACAAACACCUUCGUAGAUACCUAUAGAGCAUCUUUAUGAUGACCCAGUUACUUUGUGACGUUUGAUAGCACACAAGGUAUUCCUCCGGUAUCCGGGGGUUGCAUAAUCUCAUAGUCGAAGGAAUAUGUAUCCGUUAUGAAAUGACAACACAUGUCUAUGGUUAGGAAACCUUAACCAUCUUUGAUCAACGAGCUAGUCUAGUAGUGGCUUACUAGGCACACGGUAUUUGUUUAUGUAUUCACACAUGUAUUUAAGUUUCUGAUAAAUACAAUUCUAGCAUGAAUAAUAAACCUUUAUCAUGAAUAAGGAAAUAUAAAAUAACAACUUUAUUAUUACCUCUAGGGAAUAUUUCCUUCAGUCUCCCACUUGCACUAGAGUCAAUAAUCUAGCUUACAUUGUGAUGAAUCUAACACCCAUAGAGUCUUGGUGCUGAUCAUGUUUUGCCCGCGGAAGAGGCUUAGUCAACGGGUCUACCACAUUCAGAUCCGUAUGUACUUUGCAAAUUUCUAUGUCUCCAUCCUUGACCUUUUCAUGAAUGGAGUUGAAGAGUCUCUUGAUGUGUUUGGUUCUCUUGUGAAACCUGUAUUCCUUCCCCAUGGCAAUUGCUCCAGUGUUGUCACAAAAGAUUUUCAUUGGACCCGAUGCACUGGGUAUUACACCCAGAUCGGAUAUGAACUCCUUCAUCCAGACUCCUUCAUGUGCCGCUUCUGAAGCAACUAUGUACUCCGCUUCACACGUAGAUCCGGCCACGACGCUCUGCUUGGAACUGCACCAACUGACAGCUCCACCAUUCAAUAUAAACACGUAUCCGAUUUGUGACCUAGAGUCAUCCGGAUCAGUGUCGAAGCUAGCAUCGACGUAACCAUUUACGACGAGCUCUUCGUCACCUCCAUAAACGAGAAACAUAUCCUUGGUCCUUUUCAGAUACUUCAGGAUGUUCUUGACCGCUGUCCAGUGAUCCAUUCCUGGAUUACUUUGGUACCUCCCUGCCAAACUUAUGGCAAGACACACAUCAGGUCUGGUACACAUCAUAGCAUACAUGAUAGAACCUAUGGCUGAGGCAUAGGGAAUGACUUUCAUUUUCUCUCUAUCUUCUGAAGUGGUCGGGCUUUGAGUCUGACUCAAUUUCACACCUUGUAACACAUGCAAGAACCUUUCUUUGACUGAUCCAUUUUGAACUUCUUCAAAACUUUAUCAACGUAUGUGCUUUGUGAAAGUCCUAUCAAGCGUCUCGAUCUAUCCCUAUAGAUCUUGAUGCCCAAUAUAUAAGCAGCUUCACCGAGGUCUUUCAUUGAAAAAUUCUUAUUCAAGUAUCCUUUUAUGCUAUCCAGAAAUUCUAUAUCAUUUCCGAUCAACAAUAUGUCAUCCACAUAUAAUAUCAGAAAUGCUACAUAGCUCCCACUCACUUUCUUGUAAAUACAGGCUUCACCAUAAGUCUGUAUAAAACCAUAUGCUUUGAUCACCUCAUCAAAGCGUAUAUUCCAACUCCGAGAUGCUUGCACCAGUCCAUAGAUGGAUCGCUGGAGCUUGCACACUUUGUUAGCACCUUUAGGAUCGACAAAACCUUCUGAUUGCAUCAUAUACAACUCUUCUUUAAGAAAUCCAUUAAUGAAUGCAAUUUUGACGUCCAUUUGCCAGAUUUCAUAAUUAGAAAAUGCGGCAAUUGCUAACAUGAUUCGGAAUGACUUAAGCAUAGCUACGGGUGAGAAGGUCUCAUCGUAGUCAACCCCUUGAACUUGUCGAAAACCUUUUGCGACAAGUUGAGCUUUGUUGAUGGUGACAUUACCAUCAGCGUCUGUCUUCUUCUUGAAGAUCCAUUUAUUCUCAAUGGCUUGCCGAUCAUCGGGCAAGUCCACCAAAGUCCACACUUUGUUCUCAUACAUGGAUCCUAUCUCAGAUUUCAUGGCCUCAAGCCAUUUAUCUAAAUCUGGGCUCAUCAUAGCUUCUUCAUAGUUCGUAGGUUCGCCUUGGUCUAAUAACAUGAUUUCCAGAAUAGGAUUACCGCACUAGUCUGGUGCGGAUCGUGCUCUAAUUGACCUACGAGGUUCAGUAGCAACUUGAUCUAAAGUUUCAUGAUCACUAUCAUUUGCUUCCUUUCUAGUUGGUGUAGGCAUCAUGGGAACGGUUUUCUGUGAUGUGCUACUUUCCAAUUAGAGAGAAGGUACAAUUACCUCAUCAAGUUCUACUUUCCUCCCACUCACUUCUUUCGAGAGAAACUCCUUCUCUAGAAAGGUUCCAUUCUUGGCAACAAAGAUCUUGCCUUCGGAUCUGUGGUAGAAGGUGUACCCAAUUGUUUCCUUAGGGUAUCCUAUGAAGACGCACUUCUCCGAUUUGGGUUCGAGCUUAUCAGGCUGAAGCCUUUUGACAUAAGUGUCGCAACCCCAAACUUUAAGAAACGAUAGCUUAGGUUUCUUGCCAAACCAUAGUUCAUACGGUGUCGUCUCAAUGGAUUUAGAUGGUGCCCUAUUUAACGUGAAUGCGACUGUCUCUAAUGCAUAACCCCAAAACGAUAGUGGUAAAUCGUUAAGAGACAUCAUAGAUCGCACCAUAUCUAAUAAAGUACGGUUACGACGUUUGGACACACCAUUAUGCUGUGGUGUUCCAGGUGUCGUGAGUUGUGAAACUAUUCCACAUUGUUUUAAAUGAAGGCCAAACUCAUAACUCAAAUAUUCGUCUCCGGGAUCAGAUCGUAGAAACUUUAUUUUCUUGUUACGAUGAUUCUCCACUUCACUCUAACAUUCCUUGACUUUUCAAACGUUUUAGACUUGUGUUUCAUCAAGUAGAUAUACCCAUGCCUACUCAAAUCAUCUGUGAAGGUCAGAAAAUAACGAUACCCGCCGCGUGCCUCAACACUCAUUGGACCGCAUACAUCGGUAUGUAUUAUUUCGCUCCAUUGUUUCGGAGAACGGAGUUUUAGUCAUCUUGCCCUUGAGGCAUGGUUUGCAAGCAUCAAAUGAUCCAUAAUCAAGUGAUUCCAAAAGUCCAUCCGUAUGGAGUUUCUUCAUGCGCUUUACACCAAUAUGACCUAAGCGGCAGUGCCACAAAUAUGUUGCACUAUCAUUAUCAACUUAGCAUCUUUUGGCUUCAAUAUUAUGAAUAUGUGUAUCACUACAAUCGAGAUUCAACAAGAAUAGACCAUUCAUCAAGGGUGCAUGACCAUAAAAGAUAUUACUCAUAUAAAUAGAACAGCCAUUAUUCUCCGAUUUAAAUGAAUAACCAUCUUGCAAUAAACAAGAUCUAGAUAUAAUAUUCAUGCUCAACGCUGGCACCAAAUAACAAUUAUUUAGGUCUAAAACUAAUCCCGAAGGUAGAUGUAGAGGUAGCGUGCCAACAGCGAUCACAUCGACCUUGGAACCAUUUCCGACGCGCAUCGUCACCUCGUCCUUAGCCAAUCUUCGUUUAUUCUACAGCUCCUGUUCCGAGUUACAAAUAUGAGCAACCGAACUAGUAUCAAAUACCCAGGCGCUGCUACGAGCAUUAGUAAGGUACACAUCAGUAACAUGUAUAUCAAAUAUACCUUUGUUCACUUUGCCGUCCUUCUUAUCCGCCAAGUAUUUGGGGCAGUUCCGCUUCCAGUGACCAGUCCCUUUGCAGUAGAAGCACUCAGUUUCAGGCUUGGGUCCAGCUUUGGGCUUCUUCCCGGGAGUGGCAACUUGCUUUCCAUUCUUCUUGAAGUUCCCUUUCUUUCCCUUGCCCUUUUUCUUGAAACUAGUGGUCUUGUUAACCAUCAACACUUGAUGCUCCUUCUUGAUUUCUACCUCCGCGGCCUUAAGCAUUGCGAAGAGCUCAGGAAUCGUUUUAUUCAUCCCUAGCAUAUUAUAGUUCAUCAAGAAGCCUUUGUAGCUUGGUCGCAGUGAUUGUAGAACUCUAUCAAUAACACUACCAGCCGGAAGUUCAACUCCCAGUUGAGUCAAGUGGUUAUGAUACCCAGACAUUUUGGGUAUGUGUUCACUGACAAAACUGUUCUCCUCCAUCUUGCAGCUAUAGAACUUGUUGGAGACUUCAUAUCUCUCAACCCGGGCAUUUUCUUGAAAUAUUAACUUCAACUCUUGGAACAUCUCAUAUGCUCAUGACGUUCAAAACGUCUUUGAAGUCCCGGUUCUAAGCCGUAAAGCAUGGCACGCUGAACUAUCGAGUAGUCAUCAGAUUGAGCUUUCCAAAUGUUCAUAACAUCAUCUGCAGCUCUUGCAGCAGGCCUUUCACCUAGCGGUGCAUCAAGGACAUAAUUCUACUGUGCAGCAAUGAGGAUAAUCCUCAAGUUACGGACCCAGUCCAUGUAGUUGCUACCAUCAUCUUUCAACUUAGAUUUCUCUAGGAACACAUUAAAAUUCAGGGGAACGGUAGCUCGGGCCAUUGAUCUACAACAUAGAUAUGCAAAACUAUAAGACUAAGUUCAUGAUAAAUUAAGUUCAAUUAAUCAAAUUACUAAUGAACUCCCACUUAAAUAAACAUCCCUCAAGUUAUUUAAGUGAUACGUGAUCCAAAUCAACUAACCCAUGUCCGAUCAUCACGUGAGAUGGGGUAGUCAUCAAUGGUGAACAUCUCUAUGUUGAUCAUAUCUACUAUAUGACUCACGUUUGACCUUUCGGUCUCCAGUGUUCCGAGACCAUGUCUGUACAUGCUAGGCUUGUCUAGUUUAACCCAAGUAUUCUACAUGUGCAAAACCGUCUUACAUUAGUUGUAUGUGAACGUAGAGUCUAUCACACCCGAUCAUCACGUGGUGCUUCGAAACGACGAACUUUGGCAACGGUGCAUACUCGGGGAGAACACUUUUAUCUUGAAAUUUAGUGAAGGGAUCAUCGCAAAAUAAGAUGCAUAAAGGAUAAACAUCACAUGCAAUCAAAAUAUGUGACAUGAUAUGGCCAUCAUCUUGUUCUUUUGAUCUCCAUCUCCAAAGCAUCGUCAUGAUCUCCAUCGACACCGGCUUGACACCUUGAUCUCCAUCGUAGCGUCGUUGCGUUGAGGUCGUCAUGCCUACUAUUUCUUCUACAACUAUCGCUAACGCAUAGUGAUAAAGUAAAGCAAUUACAUGGUGCUUGCACUUCAUACAAUAAAGAGACAACCCUAAGGCUCCUGCAGGUUGUCGAUAUUAGAAAACAUGAUCAUUAGUUCUCCGAUACUCGGAGUGACAAAUCCUAAUCUUGAUCUAUGCCAACUCAACAAACACCUUCGGAGAUACCUAUAGAGCAUCUUUAUGAUCACCCAGUUACAUUGUGACAUUUGAUAGCACACAAGGUAUUCCUACGGUAUCUGGGAGUUGCAUAAUCUCAUAGUCGAAGGAAUAUGUAUUUGACAUGAAGAUAGCAAUAACUAUAAACUGAACGAUCAAUAUGCUAAGCUAACAGAUGGGUCUUGUCCAUCACAUCAUUCUCCUAAUGAUGUGAUCCCAUUAUCAAAUGACAACACAUCUCUAUGGUUAGGAAACCUUAACCAUCUUUCAUCAACGAGCUAGUCUAGUAGGCUUACUAGGGACACGGUAUUUGUUUAUGUAUUCACACAUGUAUUUAAGUUUCCGAUCAAUACAAUUCUAGCAUGAAUAAUAAACCUUUAUCAUGAAUAAGGAAAUAUAAAAUAACAACUUUAUUAUUGCCUCUAGGGCAUAUCUCCUUCACCACCCAUGAAGGGUCCACGACGAAGCAACCUUGUCUAUCCCACCAUGGCCAUCGUCCAUGAAGGACUUGCCUCACUCGGGUAGAUCUUCACGAAGUAGGCGAUCUCCUUGCCCUUAGAAACUUCUUGGUUCAACUCCACAUCACGACCGGGCUCCCAAGCGACACCUAACCGAUCUAGGAGACACCACUCUCCAAAAGGUAAUAGACGAUGUGUUGAUGAUGAACUCUUAGCUUUUGUGCUUCAAAUGAUAGUCUCCUCGACACUUAACUCUCUCUCACAGAUUUGGCUAUGGUGGAAGAGGGAUUUGAGUGCAAAGCAACUUGGGAAGGCUAGAAAUCAAGGUUCAAAUGGCAGGAAUGGAAUCUCUUGAUCUCAACACAUGAGUAGGUGGUUCUCUCUCAGAAAAUGAAUGGUGGAAGUUUAGGCAUGUUCUGAUGGCUCUCUCACAAAUGGAGAAGGGGGUGGAGGGGUAUAUAUAGCCUCCACACAAAAUCCAACCGUUACACACAUUUGACUCAUCUCGGUGGCACCAAUUAGUUAAACUCUGUGGCACCGAUCUGUUCAAAAAUAUGAAUGUUAGGAACCUCGAUGGGACCGACUGGAACAACUCGGUGGGACCAAUGUGCUAGGGCUUAGGGCAAACCUCGUCUAAGUGGCACCGAUUGCAUCAACUCGGUGGGACCGAAGUGAAGCAAUAAGGCAAUCGUGAGUUGGCCAUCUCGGUGAGACCAAAAUAAUUGCAACAAGUAACACAGAGUUGGAAAGGCCAUCUCGGUGGGACCAAGAUCCCUAUCAGUGUGACCGAAUUGUUUGGGUUUCUAGCAGUGGCUAUGUCAAAUGAACUCGGUGGCUCUGGGUAGAAAGAAUCGGUGGGGCCGAGUUGGAGUUUAGGGUUUUGACAUAUUUGGAUGGAGAAAGUGGCUGAGGGUUUUCGAGCAAUAUCACUAAGCACUUUGUGCAAGUAGACCAUUAAGCAACACCUCAUCCCGUUUUAAUAGUAUUGGCUAUCCUAUGGACUCAAUGUGAUCUUGGAUCACUUAAAUAGAAAUGAAGAGUGUUGAGCUUUUGCCAAUCUUUGUCCUUAGCAUUUUGAAGGGUUCCACAUCCUCUUGUCCCUGCCACUCCACUGUUGGACUUACCUGAAAUAUACUGGAUAAAACUAUUAGUCCAAGAAAAGAUAUGUUGACAUUAAUUACCAAAAUGACCCAGGGAGCACUUGUGCUUUCAAUCUCCCCCUUUUUGGUAAUUGAUGACAACAUACAUCAAAGCUUCAAAUAGAUGUUAUGAAGAGCAGUAAGUAAAGCUUUGGAAGAGCAUGUAACAUUCAUAAGCUCCCCCUAUAUGUGUGCAAUCAUGUAAUGAUAUAAUUGAAUAACAUGUGAAUACACAUCAUGACAGAGCAAGUAAUGAGUUACAUGUAUCUUGGCUAUAUGCAUCAGAGCAAAGAUCAAAUGUGAUGUACCUUCAUGUUUAUGAAUUCAUAUUGCAAACAAUAUGUGCAAAAGCAAGAGAUCAUCAUGCACAUGGUUGUGAUGCAUAUACUUACCUUGUGGUUCUUGAACAUACUCUUGGAGGAAGCAAACUUGAGAAAACAAGGUGAAGUAACACAAGAAAACCCCAAACAAGAAGGAUUCCAAGAUCCACAAGAAUACCAAGACUGGGAUGACAUGUAAUAGGUGAGUACCUCAGAUUGAGUACUUUAUUCAGAUAUAGACAUGUCCCCAAGGACUUAAAGAUUUGCAAUGAGUUCUAAGGAUCUUUAUCCCCCUUAAUCUAACAUUGAUAUAAUUGGGGUAGAAAUACAUAAAUCAGAGCAGAAAUGAAUGAGAUAAAAAACAUCUCAAAAAAUAUUAUCAUGUCUUUCCCCUCUUAAAGACAUGUGACUUCUCUCCUCUUAUGACAUUGCAUUUCUCUUCCUUUUUUAGAAGAGUUUUGUAAGAUUAAGCUUUGAUGUGCUCUCCCCCCCUAUGACAUCAAUUUCCAAGAAGGGUAGUUUUCAUGGAUAAGAGUCAAGUGAGUAUGAUCCUUGAGAGACACAAGCAAGCAUAAUGUAGCUCAAGAUGCAGACAGAGGAAAAAAAUCAUUGAGUGGAGCUGAAGAAAAUAGGAAAUAUAAGAUGGCAAAAAGUUUUCUCAGCAGUGAAAUCGGUGGCGCCGAUCUGCUUCAGUCAGUGGAGAUAGCAGAGCCACUGAAGGUGCUCAUCAAUGAGACGGAGUUAGUCCAUGUCGGUGGAACCGAUGAACUGUGUACAAGUAAACCUUGUGCUUUGGUCUAGCCGAUGGGCUUGGAUCGGUGGAACCGAGUUUAAUGUAGAGAAAAGUUUUGUCAAUCAGCUCACUUGCAAAUGAGAUUUCACAAAUAUUUUCAAGGAAUUGUCAGAAGGAUUUGCAAUGAAUUAAAUUUUUGACACAAAGGCAAACAACACACAUAACAAAAGAGAUCUAGAUGAUUUUUUUGUUAAAAAAGGAAACACGAUAGCAAGAAGACAUGCAAUGGAAUGCAAUGUAAAAAAGGAACACUGGAGAACUUCAUCUAUAGAUGGUCGGCGACAAGGUCACCUAUGUUAGAGUAUAUUGACUUGGGAGUCAAGUGAGAUCAGUUGAUCAUAGGUCAUACUCAUCGUUAAGAUCAAAAUGGUGUUGACAUUUUUCAUUUAAGCGUCUUGAUAUAUUCAUAUCUUGUUGAGUUGCUUUAGCUCAUGACUUGGAGCAAAGCUUCUCUAAGAUGGCAUGACAGACCUUAGGUUGUGGUGUUGAUCUUGAUUAUGUAGUUGAACUUAUGUUGGAUGCUCAAGGAUGACAUAGUCCAUCAAGAGUUGGGAGCAUCCUUUGGAGUUGAAGUUCAUCUUCCUACAUGGGUUAGUCUUGGAAGGAAUAGCACUUGUGUAUCCAAAUUGACAAGAGUGAAUUUCAUCAUAUAGAUAUUACCAAAGGAUAUGUUGAAUAAGUUCAUGCUUUCUUGAUUUCAACAACCAAAGCAUAGAUACUUGGUGAUGUAGAGAUUGCUCAAGAUGUGAGGGAUUUGCAACCUCAUGGAUUUAUGCUCAUCCAAGUACCUACAAGGGUUAGAUAACAUACAAGGGUGCAAAUAUAUCCAAGAUAAAUGAUCAUCAUCAUAAGGGAAAUAUCAAGGAUUAGUCACAAAGGCGCAUGCCUUGCAUGUACCCAAAUGGAAACUCUAUUCCAAGUUUGAGGCAUCAAUGAUAUUCAAUUCACCUCUCAAUCGACAAAACAUCUUUUCAUCAAGCGGUUUAGCGAAUGUAUGCGCUAAUUGCUUGUCGGUACGAACAUGCUUAAGAUUGACAUCUCCUUUAGCAACAUGAUCACGAAUGAAAUGAUGACGAACUUCAAUAUGCUUAGUUCGAGAAUGUUGCAUGGGAUUGUGUGCAAUCUUAAUAGCACUCUCAUUGUCCCAUAGCAAUGGAACAUGUUUCACAUGUAUCCCAUAAUCUUUAAGAAUUUGGGUCAUCCAAAGUAAUUGAGCACAGCAUGAUCCAGCGGCAAUGUAUUCUACUUUGGCGAUGGAUAGGGAUACCGAGUUUUGUUUCUUGGAGGACCAAGAGACAAGGGAUCUACCAAUAAAUUGACAUGUACCCAAAGUGGACUUUCUAUCAACCUUGUCACCGGCAUAGUCUGAGUCAGAAUAGCCAACAAGAUCAAUAGAUGACCUCUUAGGAUACCAAAUGCCAAAGUUUGGUGUAUGAAUUAAGUAUCUCACUAUCCUUUUCAUGGCCUUAAGAUGACAUUCUUUAGGUGCCGCUUGAUAUCGUGCACACAUGUGCACACCUAGCAUAAUAUCGGGACGGGAGGCACAUAGAUAUAACAAUGAACCAAUCAUAGAUUGGUAAACCUUUUGGUCAACCGGGUUGCAAUCUUUAGUCAAGUCAAGAUGUCCACUAGUAGGCAUGAGCGUUUUCAUACCUUUGCUUUCUUGCAUGUUGAACUUCUUGAAAAGAUCCUUGGUAUACUUUGUUUGUGAGACAAAGGUACCUUCUCUAGUUUGCUUGAUUUGCAAACCAAGGAAAAUUUUGAGUUCACUCAUCAUAGACAUCUCAAACUUCUCCGACAUUAGCCUUCCAAACUUUUCACUAAAAUGGGGGUUAGUAGAACCAAAUAUGAUAUCAUCCACAUAAAUUUGGCACACAAAUAAUUCUCCAUUAACCCUUUUAGUAAAAAUAGUAGAAUCAAUUUUCCCAAUUUCAAAGCUUUUUCAAUAAGAAACUUAGUCAAGCAUUUAUACCAAGCUCAAGGAGCUUGUUUGAGACCAUAAAGAGCUUUGUGAAGUUUGUAAACAUGAUUAGGUUUCUUGGGAUUAACAAAGCCAGGAGGUUGUUUAACAUAAACUUCCUCCACAAUUCCUCCAUUUAGAAAAGCACUUUUAAUGUCCAUUUGGUAUAAAGUGAUAUCAUGGUGAUUGGCAUAAGCAAGUAAAAUGCGAAUGGACUCAAGUCUAGAAAUGGGGGCAUAUGUCUCACCAUAGUCCAUACCUUCGACUUGAGUGUAGCCUUGAGAAACGAGACGGGCCUUGUUGCAUACAACUUGUCCAUCUUCAUCUUGCUUAUUCCGAAAUACCCACUUGGUUCCAAUGACAUUUUGAUCAUCGUUGGGCUUUUCAAUCAUUGUCCAUACUUGAUUCCUCUCAAAGUUGUGUAGAUCUUCAUGCAUAGCAUUUAUCCAAUCCGGAUCCUCAAGGGCUUCUUCUACCUUCAUAGUUUCAACACUAGAAAUUAAUGAGUAGUGUUCAAAAAGUUAGCCAAACGAGUUUUAGAGCGAGUGAUCCUCCCGGUUUGGAUGUCAUCGAAGAUUUGUUCGACGGGAUGAUCUCUUGAGACUCUUUCUCUAACUCAUGAGAGAUUUUGCUUGGGUUGAGGUGGAACAUCCUCCUCCUCCUCCUCCUCAUCAUCAUCAUCGUCGUCGUCAUCAUCAUCUUUUUCUUCAUUGUUGGUGGUGUUUUUGUUCGCUUGUGGAGGUGGAGAAGGAGGUUGAGGUGGUUCAUCUUGUUGUACUUCCUCAUUCCUUCGUCUUGACGUGUUCCACUUGUGGAUGCCUCCAUGUCAACUUGAGGUUCACCUUGAUGUGAAGUUGAGGCUUCCACUUGAAUGGACGAAGUACUAUCCUUCACCUCCGUUGGGCGAAUUUUGUCGAUAGACAAAUCUUGAAUUGCUUCUGAGGGAUCUUCGUCUCCUACAUCAAUUGGAAAUUAAUCUACUUGCGAGCCUUUAGAUUCAUCAAACUUCACAUCUACCGUCUCUUCAACCUUUCGGGUGAAAUUGUUGUAGACACGGUAAGUGUGAGAGUCUGAGUCGUAACCGAGUAGAAAACCUUCAUGAGAUUUAGGAGCAAAUUUCUAACGAUGAUGCUUAUCAAGAGUGUAGCACUUUGAGCCAAAUACUCGAAAGUAUCCAACUUGGGGUUUGUUACCGGUGAGCAGCUCAUAUGUCGUCUUCUCGAGAAGCUUGUGAAGAUAUGGUUGAUUCAUAGCAUGACAAGCUGUCUCAACCGCUUCCGCCCAAAAGUGUCUUGGCGUCUUGUAUUCAUCAAGCAUUGUUCUCGCCAUCUCAAUAAGUGUCCGGUUUCUUCCUAUCAACAACUCCAUUUUGUUGAGGUGUGUACGUAGCCAAGAACUCAUGUGAAAUCCCUUCUUCGUCAAGAAAGGUAUCCACAUUGGCGUUCCCGAACUCCGUUCCGUUAUCACUUCGAACCUUCUUGAUCUUCACUUCAAAUUGAUUUUGGGCCUUCUUAGCAAAGUUCUUGAAGAUCUUUUGGACCUGCGAUUUGUCAUCAAGAAAGAACACCCACGUAAAUCUUAAAAAAUCAUCAACGAUGACUAAACCAAAAGAGUUACCACCAAGGCUCUUAUAAGCAUUGGGACCGAAGGGAUCCAUGUGAAGUAGCUCAAGUGGUCUUCUCGUGGUCAUGAUGUUCUUCAUGAGUGACUUCCUCCAACUUGUUUUCCAGCUUGACAAGCACUACAAAGUCUAUCCUUGUCAAAUAUAACAUCUUUAACACCAAGGAUAUGAUCACCCUUAAUAAGCUUGUCAAGAUUUUGCAUGCCCACAUGGCCAAACCUUCUAUGCCAUAACCAUCCUUUAGAAGAUUUAGCAAUUAAUCAAGUACGACUUGGGAUCUCUUAGUGAAAUCAACAAUUUAUAGAUCACCUAUACGAAUGCUGGUAAAUACCAUAUUAUGAUUAUCUCUACAAAACACUUGGCAAUCUACUUCGGUAAAUAGAACAACAUUGAAACCAAAGUCGGCUAGUCUAGAUAUGGAAAGAAGAUUGUAACCAAGAGAUUCAACAAGCAUAACAUUUUGAAUAGAGCUAUCAUUGGAUAUGGACACCUUACCAAGGCCAAGUACCUUACCCUUGGAGCUGUCUCCAAAAGUUACAUACUUGUGUGGACCAUCAUUUUUAGCAAGCUCAUGGAACAUGUCUUUAUCUCCGGUCAUGUGAUCGGUACAUCCACUCCUUUCCUCCGGCCAUGUAGCCACGAAAGUUAGGCACGAGACUAAGAUUUCUCAUAGUCUCCUCAUAGUCAAUAUCACUUUCUUCGUCUUCAUCAUAAUAGCCAUGCUCAGUGUCAUCAUCAUCAUGUGUGUGAUCAUCACCUAGAGCAAGUGAUUCAUUAGAUUUAUGACCAUGACAAUGUUCAAUUUUAUGAAUUCUAAUUGUCUCCGAGAUAAUGCUACUAAUGACUCCAACAUUACCCUUGGCACACAUAAGAUCAUAAAGCUCAAAUAAGCAUUCAUCAAACUUGGGAUCACUAGGCUUCAUUUUUUGAAAAGCAAUAGACUUUUGAAGAAUCUCAUCUAGAUUUUUCAAUGAGUAAUUUGGAAAGCGUUCCUCAAGAUAAUUCCAUUUAGUAUAUGCGCAUUCAAAGGUUGGCAAGCAAACAAGAAAAUUCUAGGCAAUCCUCUAAUGAUAUGAUCAAUAGUCCUAAGAUUGCGAACCAUGUCAAGAUACUCAUCGGGUGUAGGAUGCAAAGGAUCAAUGGAAGGCACAAAGGGCUAAGAAUAUACUUGUUCAAAUUAUAUUCAUUGAAAAUUUCAAGCAUCUCAUUUUUCCAUGAACUAUAGAACUCCCCAUCAAGAAGAGGCACUAUACGUCUAAUAGUACCGUAUGUAGACUCGUCCAUCUUCCUCCAAUGGUGAUUAAACCAAAGCAAUGGAGACCAAUGCUCUGAUACCAAUUAAAAGGAUCGAGAAGAUGGGUACAGAGGGGGGGGGGUGAUUAGACCCUUAACAAGUAAAAGUGGUAGUUUUUAAUUUGUUUAAGUUAAGUUCAAAUUUAAUACAUAUUAAAGCACACACAAUACAUCUCAAGCAAGCAUGACAAGAGUAUAGGCAGCGGAAAGAGUAAAGCAUGCAAGUUGCAAGAAUGUAAAGGGAAGCAAACACAAUGGAGAUGCAGAGAAUUUUUGGCGUGGUUCCGAUAGGUACGUCCACGUUGAUGGAGACCUCAACCCAUGAAGGGUAACGGUUGCGCGAGUCCACAGAGGGCUCCACCCACGAAGGGUCCACAAAGAAGCAACCUUGUCUAUCCCACCAUGGCCAUCGUCCAUGAAGGACUUGCCUCACUCGGGUAGAUCUUCACAAAGUAGGCGAUCUCCUUGCCCUUACAAACUUCUUGGUUCAACUCCACAUCACGACGGAGGCUCCCAAGCGACACCUAACGAAUUUAGGAGACACCACUCUCCAAAAGGUAAUAGACGGUGUGUUGAUGAUGAACUCCUUGCUCUUGUGCUUCAAAUGAUAGUCUCUCCAACACUCAACUCUCUCUCUCUCUCACAGAUUUGGCUAUGGUGGAAGAGGGAUUUGAGUGGAAAGCAACUUGGGAAGGCUAGAAAUCAAGGUUCAAAUGGUUGGAAUGGAAUAUCUUGAUCUCAACACAUGAGUAGGUGGUUCUCUCUCAGAAAAUGAAUGUUGGAAGUGUAGGUACGUUCUGAUGGCUCUCUCACAAAUGGAGAAGGGGGUGGAGGGGUAUAUAUAGCCUCCACACAAAAUCCAACCGUUACACACAUUUGACUCAUCUCGGUGGCACGAAUUAGUUAAACUCGGUGGCACUGAUCUGUUUAAAAAUAUGAAUAUUAGGAAUCUCGGUGGGACCGACUAGAACAAAUCGAUGGGACCGAUGUGCUAGGGCUUAGGGAAAACCUCGUCUCGGUGGCACCGAUUGCAUCAACUCGGUGGGAACGAAGUGAAGCAAUAAGGCAACAGAGAGUUGGCAAGCCAUCUCGGUGAGACUGAUUGCAAUUCUCGGUGAGACCGAUGGAAUUCUCGGUGAGACCAAAAUAAUUGCAACAAGUAACAGAGAGUUGGCAAGGCCAUCUCGGUGGGACUGAGAUCCGUAUCGGUGUGACCGAAUCGUUAGGGUUUCUGGUAGGGGCUAUGUCAAAUGAACUCGGUGGCCCCAGGUAGAAAGAAUCGGUGGGGCUGAGCUGGAGUUUAGGGUUUUGACAUAUUUGGAUGGAGAAAGUGGCUGAGGGUUUUGGAGCAAUAUAACUAAACACUUUGAGCAAGUAGACCAUUAAGCAACACCUCAUCCCCUUUUAAUAGUAUUGACUUUCCUAUGGACUCAAUGUGAUCUUGGAUCACUUAAAUAUAAAUGAAGAGUCUUGAGCUUUUGCCAAUCUUUGCCCUUAGCAUUUUGAAGGGUUCCACAUCCUCUUGUCCAUGCCACUCCACUGUUGGACUUAUCUGAAAUGUACUGGAUAAAACUAUUAGUCCAACAAAAGAUAUGUUGACAAUAAUUACCGAAAUCACCCAGGGAGUACUUGUGCUUUCAGCGACAAACGAAGAGAAGACUCGGGUACACAAAGUUUGUUAGCCUGCAUAAAAUAGUCAUCCUUGAUGUAAUAUUAUCCCAAGAGGUGUUAGCUUGACAUUUUGCAUAAGGAAUCACAAACGAGGAUCAUGCGCAUACAAGUAAUGUGCUCAAAGCCAAUAACAGUCAAUUCAAGUUGAGUAACUGCCAUGCACUUGCGGGAAAGAGCAUCCGCCACAACAUUUUCUUUACACUUAAUGUACCUAAUGACAUAAGGAAAACACUCAAUGAAUUCACUCCAUUUGGCAUGCCAUUUAUUCAACUCGGUUUGACCUUUAAGGUAUUUAAGCGUCUCGUGGUCGGUAUGUAUGACAAACUCACGUGGUCGAAGGUAAUUCUCCCAAACAUGCAAGGCUCUAAUCAAAGCAUAUAAUUCUUUAUCAUAGAUGGGAUAAUUAAGUUGUGCAUCAGAAAGUUUCUUGUGAAAAUAUGUAAUGGGUCGCGUUUCUUGCAUCAACACGCCACCUAUGCCGUUACCACUAGCAUCCCAAUGCACUUCAAAUGUUUUCUCAAAUUGGGUUAGGCAAGUAAUGGAGCAUGUGUAAGCAAGGUUCUAAGUUCCUUAAAUGUGGCAUCUUGGGAAGGUCCCCAAACAAAUAGUGUGUUCUUCUUACUCAAUGCAUUCAAAGGUGAUGCAAUAGUGCUAAAAUCCUUAACAAAGCGACGAUAAAAUUGGGCUAAACCAAGGAAACUACGCUUUGUUGCAAAUUUGUUGGUUGGGGCCAAGUUUUAAUAGCAUCAAUUUAGUUUCAUCCACUUGAACACCCUUAGAGGAGACUACAAAACCUAAGAAAGCAAGCUUAUCAACACCAAAAGUGCAUUUUUCAUGUUCGUAUAAAGGCACUCAUUUCGAAGAAUUUGCAAGAUGUCUCUAAGAUGUGUGACAUGAUCUUCAAGGGAUUAACUGAAAACAAGUAUGUCAUCAAAGUAUACCACAACACAAAUGCCAAUGAGUUUUCGAAGAACAUAGUGCACUACCCUCAUAAAAGUGCUAGGUGUUUGGGAUAAUCCCAUAGGCAUGACUAACCAUUCAUAUAGACCAAAUUUUGUUUUAAAAGCCAUUUUCCAUUCAUCACCUUCUUGAAUGUGAAUUUGAUAGUAGCCACUUUUAAGGUCAAUUUUUGAGAAAAUGGUGGCCCCGCUAAGUUCAUCAAGCAUGUCAUCAAGGCGUGGAAUGGGAUGAAGGUAUCGAACGGUUAUAGCAUUAGUGGGACGACAAUCGGAACACAUGCGAAACUACCAUCUUUCUUAGGCACAAGAAUAACCGGAACGACACAUGGGCUUAGACUUUGAUGAAUAUACCCAUUCUCGAGGAGAUGUUGCACUUGCAUUUGUAUUUCUUUUGUCUCGUCAGGGUUGAUGCAGUACAAUGCCUUGUUAGGUUGAGGUGUGUUGGGGAUAAGGUCGACGUGAUGCCCAAUUCCGCGUAAAGGAGGUAGUCCCGAGGUAGCUCAUCAAGGAACACAUCCGUGAAUUCCUGCAAGAGAUGAGACAAAACCAAAGGAAGAUGUUGUGAAGUAUUAGUCCUCACCGCUUCAUCUUUGCACACAAGUACAAAGUGAAGAACACUCGAUGGGCUGUUACUCACAUCCCUCACGUCUCUUUUAGUGGCUAGGAGAACUAACCUUUUCUUCUCACUCACCGUGGAGUCACUGAAUUGUGGCUUGUGGCACUCACUCUCUUUUUUGUGGUUCACCCGCUCACUAGUCUCUCCAUGAUGUUUUGAAGCUUGUUUGUUGGCAAUGACUUGACUUGGUGAUAUGGGUCGAAGCACGUAAUCCUUGCCCUUCAUCUUGUAGCUAUAGUGAUUGGUUAGUCCGUUGUGGAUGAUUUCGUGAUCGAAUUUCCAAGGUCGUCCUAAGAGGAGAUGACACACAAACAUAGGAACCACAUCACACUCCAAGGUGUCUUCGUAUGCGAAACCUUGGAGGACACUUUGACGGUGUGUGAAAGUGCGUUAUAUCGACUAGAGGGGGGGUGAAUAUGCGAUUUUUACUAAUUCUUCACUGAGGAAUUUUAGGGUGAGGAAAUUCCUAAGUCACGAACAACUAGCAGCGGAAUAAGUACUCAGAAAUAAGCAUAACAAAGCAGUAGCACAGUCAUCAUGAUGAAAUGAAAACAAGCAAUGAGUACAGGAAGCGAAAACACAGGAUAAGCAGGCUGAAGACAAACUGACUGAAGAAAUUGAACUGAGGAAAUUGGGAAAGUCUUCAGUCAAAUUCUUCAAACAGUAAUGAUCAGGUACAAAGACACAGAAUGAGGAAAUGAAAGGGUUGAUGAAAGAGAACCAGUUAACUCGGUGAAGACAGUGAUUUGGUAGACUAGUUCCAAAAGAUAAAAUGAAACUACGAAAACAGAAGUCUUCACGCUUCAUGUUCCUCGCAUAAAUAUCAAGUCUUCAGGAUCACACCUAUUUCUUCACUUUCAAAGUCUUCAGAAAGCCAAAGUCUUCAGUUGAAGACAUUCAUUUUUUGGGGUCGACUUUCUCUGUAAAUAUCAAACUCCUCAUAGACUUAUAGACCUGUGUACACUCACAAACGCAUUAGUCUCUUAACCUAUAAGUCUUCAAUGCACCAAAAUCACUAAGGGGCACUAGAUGCACUUACAAUCUCCCCCUUUUUGGUGAUUGAUGACAAUAUAGGUUAAGUUUUCAACGGGUAUAAACAUAUGAAGUGUAAAUACUGAUAUUGAGGAAUUUGAUUGCAAGAUAUAGAAGAACCCCCCUUGAAGAUGUGCAUGAGUGAGGAAUUUGCUUUUGAGGAGCAAUGCACAUUGAAGAGUAGGAUCAUGGAGAUCUCCCCCUAUAUCUUGUAAUUCAUACACGCAUUUAACAUAUGAUAUGAAGAAUUUGAAAUGCAUGAUGAAAUAUGGUGACUGAUGUAAUUUAGCAUGCAUGCAUUAACAUAUCUGAGGAAAUAGCAUGCAGAAGAACGUAGCAAAAGUAUCAGACCACCAUCGCGUUUAAGAUUACAACUCGAUCCAAAAAAAACUUCAGAAGAACGAGAGUUGCAACUUAAAAAAAACGCCCAUAUAGAGACCCGCUUGAAGACUAACUCAAAUUUACCCCCCUUUGUCAUCGAAUGACCAAAAGGGAUGAAAAAUGAGGACUAACGCCCCUGAGGAAUAUCAUCACGAAGUCGAUGGAGGAGUGCCAUCGUUGUUGGGGUCGGUUCUUGAAGUAGGGCCUAUGGCAGUGUCGUCCAAGUCUUCAUUUUCAUCAGUCUCGCGCGAUGAAGAAUAAGAGCUGGCCACCAAGUGAGAAACUUUGACCUUCUUGAAUUUCUUCGAGGGUGGCUGAGACCAUUCAAAGUCUUGCUUGAAGCCCAUCUGCUUAAGAUCUUCUUCACCAUAGAAAUGAGACAGAACAGCCCAGGUGCGAUCAAAUAGUUCAUGCAGAUAGUAAUGGUUCUUCUUCACCGAAUUCUGAGUGAUGGUCAUGUUCUGAAGAAUUGAACCAAACUGUCGCUUGACCCAUUUAUGGUUGCGAUCGACCUUUUGGUGAAGACCAAGGAGAAGCUCACAAUCACUCAGCACCCUUGGAGCAGUUGCUUGAGGAUUUGGCUUUGAAGCAUUAGCGGCAGAGUCAUGAGUGGCAGAGUCAUCAUUGGUGGAGUAGGAAGCAGCUUUGCGAAACUGGCCAUCUAAUGGACGAGUGCCUUCAUCAAUAAUAGCAGCCUUGCCCUUCUCAUCAGAUGAGAUAAUAGGUCGUUUGAGGACUCAAUGGGCGGCAAGUAGCUGAGAUGAUUUUGAAAGUUAGCCUUGUAAUGAAUUGAAGACCUUGAUCUGAGGAAUCUCAUAAUCCAAGGAGUGUAAGGCUUCAACUCAAAAGGUGACAGAGCAACAUUGGCCAUAGUCCGCAUGAAGAAAUCAUGGUAGUUGAUUGGAACUCCAUGGAUGAUGUUGAAUAGCAGAUUCUUCAUGAUGCCAACGACCUCUUCUUCAUUAGAGUCGUGACCCUUGAUUGGACUGAGGGUCUUGGUCAAAAUUCUAUAAAUUGUCCUUGGCACAUAGAGCAAUUCCUUCACGAGGAAUUUAGUUCUUGGGGCUUGGCCAGGCUUCAGAGGCUUCAUAAACACUUGCAUGAAAUGAUCAGAUAUCUCAGGUUCAUGGUAGAUGAGUCUUGCACCUUCAUGGGGAGGACUGAUUGGUAGGGCAUGAAGUAAUUCAGAGGCCGGAGCUUUGUAAUGAGUGUUAUCAGUCAUCCAGUCCAACACCCAUGAAUUCACAUCUUCAGCGUUGCUGGUGAUGUGCAACGUAGCGUAGAACUGAAGAAUUAGCUCUUCAUUCCAGUCACAGAUGUCGGUGCAGAAAUUGAGCAACCCAACGUCGUGAAGAACAUUGAGGACUGUGGUGAAGCAGGCAGUGACUCCAUAUCCACAUGAGGAAUAUGCUCAUGGUCAAAGAUCUUGUCUUUAUCAAAAAGCAGUGAAGAAUAGAAGUUCAUCGGACUUGCUAUCCAGAAGCGCUUGCAUCAAAGACGAGCAGAGUCAUAGGGAUUAUAUUCCGUGAAGAACACGUGUUCAUGGAAGAAAUCAUCAGCUUUGAACUUCUGUUUCUUUGAGAAAAAAUUCUUUGGCUUGGGCUGAGGAGUGUUAGUCAAUUUCUUCACAGCCUCUUGAAUCACAGUCUCAGGAGCCGCAUUCUGAGGAAUUUUAGUUGCAAUAUCAUCAGUAGCAGCCUGGGUCUCCAUGUCUUCAGUAGCAUUUACAUUAGCACUAGUGGCUGGAAUUUCUUGAGGGAUGGUAAGAAGAGAAGCUUGAGGUUGUUCAGAGCCCGUUUGAACUUCUUCGAUCUGAACCGGGGACUGAGGAAUUUGUUGCAGAGGAGUGAACAAUGGUGAAUUGGGGUGAUGACUUUCCCAAUAGUCAUCAUUCAGAAUUGGAGUGGUGCACCCAAUGUCCACGUCUUCUUCUUCUUCAUCAUCAAUUUCUUCAACGCCGGCCUCUUCAACAGUGAACUGAGGCAUGGGCGAGGAUACCAAUGGAGUUGAAGGGAUAUUGUCUACUUCAAUUUCCUCAUCCAAUUUCUCUGACGAAGCAGCAGAAGGAUCUUCUUCAUCUGAUCCACUUGGGAUUUCAUAGUCCUUACCAAAGGGAACAAUCUCCUUUGAUGGCAUGCUUGAAACAGGAACAACAUCUAUAGGAUUGUCAUUGGAGCUUGUCAAAGUCUUCGCCUUCUUUGGUGCAGAAGACUCUGAGGAAGCAGAUGCUUUCCUUUUCUUCACAGCGGCUCGGUCUGCAGCCUUGGUCUUUUUCGCUUCUGAUGCAGAAGGAAGGAUAGGACUUGGAGUUGGUGUUCGGUUCAUUUUCCUUAGGCUCAACUGAUGCAGUUACCCUGGCUUGUUCAGUGUCUUCAGGCGUAGCACCAGAUGCUUCAGCUGGCCUGGCUUGUUCUUUAGGCGCAACACUAGUGGUUGCCCUGGCAGUUUCUUCAGUGGCUGGAAUAGCUUCAUCCGCCCUAGUGCUUUUAGUUUCUUCAGCAGCCUGAUUUUCAUCAGCGGUGCUGGCAUGUUCUUCAGUAGGCUGUGCAGAUGCAUCAGCCUAAGGAGAUUCAUGUUGCAUUGGGGCUGCAACGUUGGAGGUGAAUUUUUCAGCCAUUUUGACAAAUCUGACUUUGGCUCCCAGCCAAUCUGCAACACACGAAGUUAAGUUGAUGAGAACCUAGUGAUUAAGCAGCGGACAUGUGUACCUGUGAACAAAGUAUAGGUGCGAAGAAUUUGGAGAGGUCAUAUGCAUUCUCAGAAGUUUUUGCAAGAAGAACAAGUUUGAGGAAUUUGACCAGAAGUAUCUUGAGGAAUUUCACUAAGCGUUCUUUGACUUAGGUUCCAGAGUUGUAUAGAUUGAGAAAUCCACACAAUUGAGGGAUCUUGAAGAAAAGUUUUGCUUAGAGAAUCAAAUCAAGAACAUAUGCUUAUGUGAGGUGUUUAAUGUGUGGAAGUUGAAGAAUAAACACCUUUUGAAGAUUUUGUGCAAAUCAUCAAAAUCAACAAGGGCAGUAAAAGCAACUUUUAAUUACCCUUGACGAAGAACACGACGAACAGGGAGUUGUAGAUUGGAAGUUCGUCAGUCAAGAUCUUCCACGCCCUAACUUGGCAGAGGAAGACAACUCCGGCGGCAGCGGAGUGAAGAUAUCCCCGGCCGGCGCGAGUACGAUAGCGGCGAGGUCGAGGCAGUGAAGCUCUUCCUCACCGGCGACGAUGAAUGUAGCGGCGGUGCUAGGUCUGGAAGAUCGAGCGAGGGGAGUGAGGUUGAGCGGGGUAAAUGCAGUCCGAGGAGGGUGAGGGGUAUUUAUAGCCGAAGUGAAAAACUGCUCGCCCGAAGAAAUUGGACAAACGUGCCCCUUACCCUUCUCAUCCUAGCGACAUGUGUCACCCACGUACAGAGCAGUGGCGAUCGUGGGUGAAUAGAUAAAUCCUAUCAUGGGAUGUGGAACGAUUUGAGCGGCAAAAGCCAAAAAUUCAGAUAAGAAUAUUUUAACUGUUCGUUCACAAAUUCUUCAGCUGACAAGGACACGGUGAAGAUUUUGAACGGGUUUCAAAUAGAACGCACAUGAAGAAUUUGUGAACAGAUUGGGUUGAGUUUAGCAUAGAGGGGGAAGGGUCUGAUCACAUUCACUUAGUAGAAAAGGCAACUUGAAGAAUUAGCAAUAAGUAAAUGCUGUAGAGGACUAAAACUCAUAUAUAUAUAUAUAUAUAUAUAUAUAUAUAUAUAUAUAGUCAAAGAAGAAUAACGGCGGAAAGAGUGAAGACAUUGCAAAGUUGAAGAAUUUGAACAACUCAGGAAUUUCAAAAACAAAAAAAAAC
rnacentral:lncRNA from 1 species